CAUCAUGUGGAAGAUGGAGUUCCACAAAUUCAAUGCAAUGAGAAUAUUUUUGGGAGAGUUUAGGCUUGAUGGAGCUGAGAUUUACAGGCGUGGAACAAAUAAAGAUGUGAAAAUUUCUCUUGGUGGUCAGCUUCUUGGCUAGCUCUAGGUAGGGAGAUAUAUGGCCGUGAGCUAGCCAUGGAAGCAUAAGAAUAGUAAGUUUUCUUUGGUCAGAGUAAACCAUAUUUUGUUUUCCUUUCACUCUUUUGCUUGAGGUUGCUCGAUUAUAGGCUUAUUGGUAGUUUUUUUGUAGCUAGCUCUAUGCAUAUAUAUAUAUAUAUACACACACAUUCAUGGGAAAAGAGGCUUGGGGAUGGGAAAUCAAUUGAUUUCCUAUGUUUGGUAAAGUUCGGGUAUGAGAAAUCGUUGCUUUGCACAUGAGAAAGUAGAGGGGAAAGUGAAGCCCUCCUCCUUCCUUAGGUUUUGUUUUCCUCCUCAUGGGAAAGUUUGGGAAAAUGAGCUAAUAUUAAAUACAUAUUUUUCAUGACCAUAUUAUCCCCAUUAAUAAUUUAGAAUUACAUAAAUGCAUUCUAUUUUUAUUUGAUUUCAUAUGGGUAUAAUUGAAAAAUUAAACAAAUUUUGUUUUACAUUCCUACACAAACCAAACAUGUGAAAGGAAAUAAAGUGGUAUUUCUUGGUUACUUUCCCAAGAUUACCAAACAUAGGAAAGGAAUCUCUAUUUCCCAUCCCUUAGAAAAUGACUUGGAAAGUAAUUUCUCCUCAAAUUCGUUCCGUGAACCAAACGGAACCUGCAUAAUAGAAGUUCCAAAAAAACACGUGAUGAUUGGAUCAUGCAUAUGUAAGUUCCCGAGUGAUGAUUGGAACAAGUUCCUAAUGAUAAAGACUCGAAACAAGAAUAGUUUAAACUUUCUUCUUUGUUUGGCUUGAUAUAAGACGAAUGCACCAAACAAACCGACUAAUUGCUGGCACAAUAUAAAUUGGGGCUACAAUUACCUAAUAAUUAGGUACUAAGGGCUACAAUUACCUAAUAAUAUCAACUUUCAUUAUACAGAUUUGAGAAACAAAAAGUUCAACUUUGAUGACAAGCGAUAUUAAAGGAGGGCGUAAUCAAACUUAGGAUCUUGAGUGUAGAAAUAAAUACUUUUAACAACUUGAGCUACAAGCCUUUUGUAAUAUUAAUGAUAUUUUAAUUAUACGUUUGAAUAGUUCGCUUCCUUCUCUUUUAUUUUCAUUUGUUUAUAUUUAACUCUAAUUUUAUUUAUAUUUUUGGUCAAGGUAAAAAGACUUUGAAUCUCUCUCCAAUGAUUUUCACAGCCGAAACUCCUUUAGUUUCCACAAAUAUUUUUUAAUAUUUCAUGCAUUUGUAAGUUUCCGACUCGGAUGGUUCAUGUAACCAAGAAGUUUAAACUUGUUUUUGCUUGUUCCGCCGACGAAAGCGCAACAAAAGGACAAACUACAACCAAUACUUCUAGUAUCACCAGUUCUCAUUGAAUUUGUUGCCGUGAAUGUUUAGGAUUCUGCCCAAACUAGUAUUUGCGUUUCUGAAUUGUUUGAAAACACAUAUGAAAUUAUGAUUUCUCCUCCCCAGAAGACAAAUUGACGAAGAAGUAUCAUGAUUUUGAUGACACAAAUUAGAAUCCAGGGUUUUCGAAGUGCCUAAUGGACAACUAUUAAUUUAGAAAUAUAUAUAUUUUUUUCGCAAUGCAGAAACACAUAAAUCCCAAGUUUGAAUUCAUCCUAUUUUUGUUUUUGUUUUUUCCUUUUUUAACCCAGAAGAAAAAUUGAGUGCCACUCUGCUAUGUAGAAUGCAAGUUUUAGUUUAGAUUUUUUUUUCUUUUUAGUCUCUUAUUCUACAUUUAGAUCUCAUAUAUUUACUCGCAUUUUAUUAAAUCUAAGUCAUUCAAACAAUCUGACCACUUAACAAAUUACAAGUACUCAAACUUAAAAUCAGAUUGGAUGGACAUGAGGCUUACACUGAUGAUUCUACACGUGCUGAGAAUAGUCCUUUUAUUUCUUUAUUAUUUUCUUGGUCGGGACUCGAGAGACAGGUGUAGUGUAGCGAUGGAGACGAGGCCCGCAAGACAUAAAAGUCUGAAGAAGAGAAGCGUGAAAGCUUCAUUUAGACAGUUAAGUGCAUACGUAACGUAAAGAUUCAAAGACUAUGUCCCUCUCCAAACAGGGAAAGAUCUGAGUUGAAAGCAACAAACUACAGUCACAAUAGGAAAGCAUCUACAACGUAAAGAAAAUAAGUUUACCAGAAGCAUCGGAAAGAUCUAGAGUCUGAAGAAGAGAUACUGAAGUAAUUGUUCAUCGACUGAGCUUAAAUGAAAUAUUAACUCUUUGUUGUGCCAUAAGCACAAGAUCUUAAGAAAAAAAUUCAAGAUAAACCAUAUAAUAUUUUCUAACCCACAAAAUAAUAUAGAAAAUAAAUGCAAGAACAAGAGAAUAGCAAGACACAACGAGGCUGCUUACAAUCAGUGUAAAUGAGCAAACAAAUUCACCAUCAACAAAUUAGCAUGCUUAUGAAGUGUUUUGCAACCUCACAAACCAAGGCGCCAUAUACACCAAAUGACUCUCACUGAAAAACUAAACAAAGAAACACACUCACACUAAUGAAAGCAACGUUACAAGGUAGGAGAUUGAAUAUUACAUUUACAAUACACUCAUAAGUUACAAAAACUAAUUACAAAUAUUUAGCGCAUAGGUUACAUAGAACUGAAAGGGUGGAAUGAUAAGAGCUAUGGUGGUCAUCCACCAACUCAUGCAUUUACAACACCGCCUCUUGAAUGUCCACCAUACAAUACAAUGAUAUAGUUGCGUCAUUAAACACUUUGCUUGAAAAACUAUAUGGGACAAAACUUAGGCUACGGGAAAAAGAGUGCAACACAAAUAAUAUUGAUAUCACAUUUGUCUCUCCUACGGAAUGAGCUUUGGUGAUGUUUGUAUAAAAAUUGCGUACAAACCAUUAUUGGAAGAUUGGGCUAGAGUGGGCUUUACCCUAGUGUUGACUUUGGAAAGAGACAAAUUAGGCUUAGUUGUGUAAAUUCAAUCCAAAAAAAAAUUAAAUAAUAGCCCACAUCUACAGCCAAAUACUUUAAUACUUUAAUUACUAAAGUUUUUUUUUCUUUCUCUCUCUUCUUUGGUUUAUUCAGCUUUUGAUUUGGCUCAAAUAAUGUUUAUAUCUCUCUUUGAUUUUGUUUUUUCAAAUUUAUUGAUGUUGCUUCUUUUGAAAAUUUUGAAAUAUGGACCCUCCCUAACUAAACCACUCCAUUGAGCAAAAGCCCUUGAGCUUCAAAUUUAUCUUCGUCUGAGCCUCUGAAUUUUGGUUUUUUUUAGGUUUUUUUUGUUUGUUGUAGGUUUCUUUGUUCACAUAUCUCUCUAAAAAUAGUAUUUUUCUUAAUGAAUUCUGAAAAUAGUUUUUAAUUUGAAGGAAAUAUACGGAAUUAGUAAAAAAGUAUACCACUUUCAUUAAUCUGAAGGAAAUAUUGCUUUAUAUAUAUUUGUUUAAAAAUAGGGCUUAUAAUUGAUCUCAAAAAAAAAAAAAAAACAAAUAGCCCACCCCUGUAAAUAUUCCUUAGUCCGCCAUUGCAUGGCAUAAUAUUUGGUAUGCUAUGCUAGCAUCUCAUAAGCUCUUCAAGAGACCUGAAUUUUAUGAUAACUUCUUAAAAAAUUUGAAUACAUUUCAACGAUAUUAAACUUGAAUUUGAACUCAUAAUUCAAUCAAAGUACUCAUUGAGGCAAUUUAGAUCAUUUUCAUUUUAAAAAAAUUGGGUGCACACAUUGAGCUUCAUGCUCUUUACCUUCUUAGAGAUUUUAUUUGAGGAAUUUAUAUUGCAUCACAUAUUACAUCUCUUAGGAUUUGUUCUUAUUAUGUAUUCUUUAAGAGAUCUAUUCUUGCAAUAUGCUUCAAACACUUCAUAAUCUUUAUGAAUUUUUCAUGUAGAUUUAAGGUCUCCAUGAAUAUUGAGAUUGAAACAAGGAGUAAAAGAGUUAAAAGUUUAAGAAAUUUUUUCCCUGAUUAUUUUGUAAUUAUAAUGUUGGUGAAAAUCCAAUUUCCUUUCUAGAAUUUGUGAAAUUUGUUAUUUGGCUAAGCUAAAAGUAUAAUUUUGACAAUAAAAAGCAUAUGAAAGUUUCUCUUUGGUUGGCUUCUUGGCUAGCUCUAGGAACGGACAGUGUGGCCAUGAGAUAACCAUGGAAGUAUAAUAAGAAUGCUUGGAUGCUGUGAACAAUCCAUUUUCUGACUCUUUUUCUUGAGGUGGUUGUUUUCUUAUGGCCCAUCAGAGUUUAUGGUCGACAGAUAAGCUUCAAACACAUGCAUUGGUCGUGUCAGUUGCGAUAAACUCUUCCCAACAAUCAACAAUUUCUAAGGUAAUAUCAUCAUUCAAUCAUGUGCUGAAUUUAGAAUUGUUUUCAAAUCAAGGAUUUGUUUUGGAACUCAGAUUUUAAAACAAUUAAAAUUUAAUUGGGAAGACUUUUUGUUUAAAGGAAGUUCGUUUCAAUUCAAAAAAUAAUUUUUCAGUUUUUCAACUCAAAAGUCUUCUCAGUUUUCUUAUUUUUCUUAUUGGCGAGUUUCUUGGUUAACUCUAGGAAGGGAGAUAUGUGGCCAUGAGCUAACCAUGGAAGCAUAAGAACGCUGACCAUGCUUGGAUUUUGAGAAGACUUCCUCUUUUUUUUUUCCCUGACUCUUCUUCUUGAGGCGGUGGUUGGCUUAUGGCCUCAUAAUAGUUUGGUGUUUUUGGAGAUCAUAUGGUGAUGAUCUGAUGGAGAUGAGUCAUAGUUUGUGCUAGUGCAUACGUAAUUCCAAUUUCCUGAUUCAGAUGGGAUAAACUCUUCCAACAAAUUAAGACUCUUAUCAUGCAUACACAUAAGAAGUGGAAAUUUGCUUCUGUCUUAGUUUGGCCUUGAUAUAGGACAGCUCAUAGGAAAGCAUCCAAAACAAUAUUCUUUUUAUUUUUUUUAUUUGAAUACAAGCGAUAUUAGGAGUGUGGGGAUUUGAACACAUGAUUUAGGGUACAGGGUAAUGCUCUUAACUAUAUGAGUUACAAGUCCCUUGCAAACAGUCUGAAAUACUAAAAAUAAAAAAUAGAUGCUCAUCCAUAUGCACUGUCAUGCCCCAACCCUUGGAUUUACAAAACCUUGUGUUAAGACGUGAUUCACACCUUAAUUAUAGAAUUUAAUAAAAACUAUAACUAAAAUGUGAAGAAAACAUUUAAAUAAAUAAAAUAAAUAUUUCACAUAGAAUAUUCAGUGGAAAUGACAACAUGUGAAAUCUUAAAAAUUUUACAUUAUCUUACAAGUUGGCGUGACUUGUGGAUAUUGACUUACUUUCCUUACACACCAAGAAUUCCUAUUAUAAUUGUAAUUGAUUUACUUUAAUUCAUGAUUUCCUACUGUAAAUAGAUUUAAGAAUUUAUUAUUUACUUGCCCAUUCAGGUUUCGUUGUAUUAUAAAUAUGACCUCCUACAAGGAGAAGAACAUACAGAAAAUUCCCACAAACAAAUAUUCUCUCAUAGUUUUCAUAUUUUAGCAUGGUAUCAGAGCGGCAAUCUUGGAAUUGCUGACUCUAGUUUCAAACCCCCGCCGCCGCUAUGGGGGUUGAUGAUUUUUUCAACCAUCAUGGAGGUAGCACCAUCGACUCCUUCUCUCAUUCUCAACUAACCAUCGUUGAGUUGAGUGCCCAGAUGGCUCCGCUCCUACAGAUGCAGACUUUGACCCCAAACCCGAUCCAGAAUCAGGAUCUUCUUUCGACAACCACGACCCCGAUCUCGACUAUGACAACGACGACCCCGACCCCUACUCUGAAGAUGACCCCGACCCCCACUCCGAUGACCCCAACCCCGAAUUUGUCUCUGAUUCAGAACCCGAUCCCGAUUUCGACUCCGACUCCGGCCUCGACUCAGGCUCAGAUUUCGAUCCAAAUUCCUACUCAACUUAUAUCCUAUGCAUCUUCCGCUGCACAGAUUAUGACUUCUAGACUAACGACCCCGACAUAUGGACCAGAUUGCACAUAUUGUGGUGAUCCGAGACACACUUGUGAGACUUGUUUUAAAUCGCAUGGCUACCCCGAUUGGUGGGCUAUUCUUACAGAUCAAGGACAAUGCACCAGUAAUGGUACUGGUUAUGGAUUCCAUACUUCCGAUAAGAUUGAUUCCAGGAGCUGGAUAAUUGAUUCUGGUGCAACUGAUCAUAUGACGUUUGAUCCUGAUGAUUUUCUGAAUACUACACAACCUCGACGAACUUGUAUUGCAAAUGCCAAUGGUGUUACUUAUCCUGUGACAGGGGCUGGCACUGUUGCACUCUCAUCCUCUCUCACACUGUCUAAUACUUUACUUGUUCCAUUUUUAUCCACUAAAUUGUUGUUAGUUAGUCAGCUUACUAAACAAUUGAAGUGUUGUGUACUCAUUUACCUGAGUUUUUGUUUGCUUCAGGAUAUUCACACUAAGGAGAUUCUUGGUCGUGGUACUAAGAGAGGGGGGCUAUAUUAUGUCGAUGACUUCAGUUCCGGCGUGCCUAACAGUGUGACACAUCCCUUUGAUAGCAAACAAAAGCAAAUUUGGUUGUGGCACCUUCGAUUGGGACAUCCGUCUUUCAGUUAUAUGAAGCAUCUUAUACCAGAUUUAUUCUUAGGUUUCAAGGACUCCGACUUCACAUGUGAUACUUGUAUUUUGGCUAACAGUCACCGUGUGCCCUACCUGUUGAGUACGAACAAGUGUACUUGUAAGAUCCCACAUCAACCAACGGAGAGGGGGUGAUGUGCCUUAUAUAUGCACACCUGCAUCCAUCUAGCACGAGGCCUUUUGGGAGCUCACUGGCUUCGGAGUCGUAGGAACUCCGAAGUUAAGCGAGUUGGGGGCUAGAGCAAUCCCAGGAUGGGUGAUCCACUGGGAAGUUGCUCGUGAGCUCCUAGAAACAAAACCGUGAGGGCAGAGAGAGGGGCCCAAAGCGGACAAUAUCGUGCUACGGCGGAGUUGAUCCCGAGAUGUGACAAUUUGGUAUCAGAGCCACUCUGCCGUGUGGUGCGAAUGUGCCGACGAGGACUUCGGGCCCUUAAGGGGGGUGGAUUGUAAGAUCCCACAUCAACCAACGGAGAGGGGGUGAUGUGCCUUAUAUAUGCACACCUGCAUCCAUCUAGCAUGAGACCUUUUGGGAGCUCACUGGCUUCGGAGUUGUAGGAACUCCGACGUUAAGCGAGUUGGGGGCUAGAGCAAUCCCAGGAUGGGUGACCCACUGGGAAGUUGCUCGUGAGUUCCCAGAAACAAAACCGUGAGGGCCAGAGAGGGGGGCCCAAAGCUGAUAAUAUCGUGCUACGGCGGAGCCGAUCCCGGGAUGUGACAAUUGUACUACUCCAUUUACGUUAAUUCACUCUGAUGUCUUGGGACCUUCGCCUAUCACUGCUCCUUCUGGUGUUCGAUGGUUUGUCACAUUCAUCGAUGAUUGUAUACAGAUGACAUGGCUUUAUUUGCUGAAGAAUAAAAACGAAGUGUUUUCCCGUUUUCAGUCCUUCCACAAACAGAUGAAAACUCAGUUUAAUGCUCAAAUCCAGAUUCUUCGCUCAGACAAUGGUGGAGAAUUUGUCAAUCAUGACUUUCAGACUUACUUCCAACAACAUGGAAUUAUCCAUGAGACGACUUGUCCUCAGACACCACAACAAAAUUGUGUUGUUGAACGAAAGAAUUGACAUCUUCUUGAAACCGCCCAAGCACUUCUGAUUGGCGCUCAUGUUCCUCGCUAUCACUGGGAUGAUGCUAUUGUCACCGCAGUUCACCUGAUCAACCGCAUGCCUUCUGGUGUAUUGACCUUUAAAACUCCCUUACAGGUGCUUGCGCAACACAGACCUCUGCUCUCUGUUUUGGUACUCACACCCCGAAUCUUUGGAUGUGUGGCUUUCGUUCAUCUCCACAAAAAUCAACGUAGCAAACUUGAUCCCUGUGCGCUUCGUUGUGUUUUUAUAGGUUAUGCCACUCAUCAGAAAGGCUACCGUUGUUAUCACCCUCCUACCCAACGAACCUAUGUCACUUUGGAUGUGACCUUUCUGGAAUCUGAGUUGUUCUUCCAUGACCCAUCAUCCAAUUCUACGCAUCAGGGGGGGAUACGAAGUGAAGAGCAGAAUUGAAGCAACUUGGGAAAUAAAGAAAUUUUCCUCUGUACAGAAAUGAUUAAUCAUCCUGAGUCUGGAGCACGAGAUUACUCUCUGUCGAAAAGCAACCAAUCGCCCAUUCAUAGCGAUCAAUUGCCUCACCUACCUGAUCCAUGUGAAGAUAUUUUUGAUCCGAGUCUCACACCUACAGACAAUACAGAACAACAAGAUGAAGACUCCCCCUCUAACUCAACAGUACCAACAGACCAAUCUCCUGAGAAUAUCCUUGAGGUAACUACUCCUACUAGAUUUGUGCAUUUAAAUGAUUAAACUAUUGGAUAUCAAUUACCUUUCAGGGAAAAUCGUGGGAAGCCAUCAAACCGUUAUGCACCUGAUAUUGGCAAGACAUCCAAGUAUCCAAUUGCAAAUCAUGUAUCCACUGAGAAGCUGUCUGAACAACUCAAGGCUUUUGUGCAUCAGUUGUCUGCGAUCCAUAUUCCAACCAAGGUCUCUGAAGCAUUAAAAUAUCCUAAGUGGGUCCAAGCUAUAAAAGAGGAGAUGAAAGCUCUUGAGAAAAAUCAGACUUGGACAUUAGAGACUAUACCUCGAGGAAAAAAGACUAUCAGAUGUAGAUGGGUGUUUACUAUAAAACACAAUGUAGAUGGAUCUAUCGAGCAAUACAAGGCAAGACUUGUGGAAAAAGGGUACACACAGACAUAUGGUAUAGACUAUGAAGAAACCUUUGCUCCAGUUGCAAAGUCAAACACCAUCAGAGUCUUAUUGUCCCUUGCAGCUAAUUUGGAUUGGCCACUACACCAGUUUGAUGUAAAGAAUGCUUUUCUACAUGGCGUACUCACGGAGGAGGUGUACAUUUACAUUCCUCCUGGAUAUAAUACUACUUAGACUGGAACAGUUUGCAGGUUACGAAAAGCAUUGUAUGGAUUGAAACAGUCACCACGUGCAUGGUUUGGACAGUUCACCAUGGCAAUGAAGAACAAUGGUUCAAACAGUGCAACUCAGAUCAUACUCUACUCUUGAAACAUCGAAAAGGGAAGGUAACAACAUUAAUAAUCUAUGUUGAUGAUAUGAUUAUUACUGGGAAUGAUAAACAGGAAAUAUCACAGCUACAAGACUAUCUGGCUACGGAGUUUGAGAUGAUGGAUCUAGGUGGACUCAAGUAUUUCUUGGGAAUUGAGGUGGCUCGAUCCCAGCAAGGCAUAUUUCUCUCUCAAAGGAAAUAUGUCUUGGACUUGUUGACAGACACAUGAAUGCUAGAUUGUAAACCUGCGAACACUCAUAUUGUUCAGAAUCAUCAUCUUGGAGAAUAUCAUGAUCAAGUUCCAACUAACAAAGAAAGAUACCAAAGGUUAGUAGGAAGAUUGAUCUAUUUGUCACAUACUUGACCAAACAUUACUUAUGCAAUGAGCGUUGUCAGUCAAUUUAUGCACUCUCCAAGUGAAGACCACACGAAUGCAGUUCUUCGGAUACUUAGAUAUUUGAAGUCUGCACCUGAAAAAGGACUUAUUUUCUGAAAGCAUGGUCAUAUAAAUAUUGAUGGUUAUUCAGAUGUAAUGUAACAGAUAGAAAAUCCACAUCCGGUUACUUAACAUUCAUGGGAGGUAAUUUGGUGACAUGGAGGAGCAAGAAACAGAAUGUAGUAGCUUUAUCCAGUGCAGAAGCCGAGUUCAGAGGCAUGACUAAAGGAAUUUGUGAACUUCUUUGGUUAAGAAAGUUGCUUACUGAACUUGGGUAUAAACCUACAUCCACAAUGAUUCUCUUUUGUGACAACAAGGCUGUUAUAGCCAUUGCACAGAAUCCGGUUCAGCAUGAUCGUACUAAACAUGUUGAGGAGGAUCGACACUUCAUCAAACAGAAGCUUGAGGCUAAAAUGUUUCAGUUUUCUUUUGUGAAAUCCGAGGAUCAAUUGGCGGAUAUUUUGACAAAGGUGAUUUCCAGUAAAACAUUCCACAAUUCACUGGAUCAGUUAGGCAUUGGCGAUAUCUAUGCACCAACGUGAGGGGAAGUGUUGGCGUGACUUGUGGAUAUUGACUUACUUUCCUUACACACCAAGAAUUCCUAUUAUAAUUGUAAUUGAUUUACUUUAAUUCCUGAUUUCCUAUUGUAAAUAGAUUUAGGAAUUUAUUAUUUACUUGCCCAUUCAGGUUUCGUUGUAUUAUAAAUAUGACCUCCUACAAGGAGAAUAACAUACAGAAAAUUCCCACAAACAAAUAUUCUCUUAUAGUUUUCAUAUUUUAGCAAGAACUACUCGAGAGUUUACUAAAAGAGUAGUUCAGUAUUCAUCCACAAGCUAUAUACACAAUACACUCUAUAGAUAUGCCAAAAUCAUCGCAAGCUCUAGAUUUUAGGUUCGAUACCUGCAAAAUCUAUUAGAAGGGUGAGUGAAACCACAGUUUAGUAGGGACAUAAACCUUUUCACGGUAAACUGAUAUAAUUAAAUUAAGUGAAAAAUAAUCACACAGCCAAAUAUCACAUUAUUAAUAACAAUGCAUGAAUGCUCUUCAUUUAACCCGUUAAUUCAUAUAAUUAGACAAGCUUCACGACCCAUACCAUGCUUAUACCACUUAGUCCCGAAUGCCAAUUUAUAUGAAUUAACGCCCAUUUCAAUCAUCCCAUAAUUCCCAUUUUGUUAGUCAUCUUGUCUAACUCCCUGUUGCCAGUCCUGAAUCACCAAAAAAAAAAAACCAUGUGCACUAUGGGAUCCCUGAGUACUAGUACCUGGCAAGAGUUAGACUCAACUACACAAAAGAUCAUUUCUAUUACCCUCUUAUCCACCAUUAUUUUCUCAACUUCAGAAUUCUAGCCAAAUUCCAUGACAUGAUAUAAUUAAAAUUAUGCCUUCACAACAAUGUGCCCAUUUAAAACAUCACUAAUGCACAUAUAAUUAUGCCCACAUUGUUCAAAUAGUUAAGAGUACGUAAAUACCCAAUACAUGGAACGUCAAUCAAACAGUACCACGCAUAAUAUAAUGCUCAAGAAAUUUAAUUAAAUCAAUCUCUGUAAAAGGCCCCUAAGAAACCCCUGCCUUGAUACUAAAGCUUUUGCUAGACCUAUAAGGUGUUUUCCAAUUUUCCACCGCAUUCACAAACUCUGUCUUCUACUUUUUUUCUUACUUCUCUCUACCACUAUUUCUUUCUCGUUUUCUUUGUUUUCACUUGUUGUGCAACUUAAUGUCCUAUAUAUAUACAAGGAACAAGUCGGCAGUAAGUGAUUUCCUAUUGGAUGGUGUAUUCGGUUGUUAUAAACUUACUAGUAAUAGUUAUCAAUGUAGUUGCAGAUGAGGAAGAAUGUUUUUGUGACUCUUCCAAUCCCUCUAAUCCUAUUUCUUAUCUUCUUGGUGAGUUGAUAGCCUCGAUACUUAACAGAUUUUAUACUUUGACACGUAUUAACAAGAACUAUUUUAAAAACAUAUACAUAUAUAUAUAUAUAAUAGAAUAUGUAUAUAUGUAAUACACAUAUUUAUAUAUAAUAAGAAUAAUAUAUAUGUAAUAAGAUAUAAAUAUUUAUUAGAACAGUAUAUAAAAUAAUAUAUAUCAUUCUUAUUAUAACAAUAAUUUUAAUUUUCCCAAAAUAAUAUAUAUUUAAAAAUAUGUGGUUUCACAUGCAUGUCCUUUUUGCUAUAGACACUAUUACAAAAAUCGAAAUAGACAACGGAAAACUACCGUCGUCUGGAAAGUUUUCAAACAGUCGUGAAAUCGACUGUCGUCUCUUUUACAUAAAACAACGACGGCUAUUAACCAACGUCGUUAAUACAUUCCACGUAAAAAACUAUUAUAAACCGACGUGUAAUUACUAUAUAUAUAGCCUAAAAUAAAAUCUUCAACAACCUUAGACGACGGUUUUAUUAAAACUGACACGUCUAAAGAGUGUUACAUGUCAAGAUCAAAACAAGAACCGACGUACAGAUAAUUAUCCACGUCCUAAUUGAAGUAAAAUAGACUUGGAUAACCUAGAAACCGUCGUGGUUAACAUAUACUACGUUAAAUUAACAAAGGCACUUACGUCUAAAAAGUAAAAGACAACACGCGCACAAAGCAACAGACGUUUAAAGCUUAGUACAUGUCAAUAGCCGCUCAAUAACCGCAGUAAAAUGAAUUAACCACGUCCCACAUAUGGCAGAACUGUUGCUUAUGUGAUUAUCCACGUCGCGGAGUAGUAGAACAAAGACGUUGUAACCAUAUUCCACGUCUGUUUCUUGUGAGAAUUGUCGUUUAAAUUAUACAAAGAAGCCCCUUUGACAGAGUUAGACGUUGCUCUUGCUGUAGAACCGACUUCUAACAGGUUUAAAAUGACACAAUAUUACUUAAUACUGCCGUAACAAAUCAUAUCCACGACUGCUGUUGUCAAAGACUGACGUUACAAAAAAUAUUGAAGGUGUUGACAAAAAAGAACCGACAUGGAUUAUGCAUUCAACGUCGUGUGGUCUAAAAAUAAAGGACGUGGUUAAUUUUUUCUCUACGUCAAGUGGAUCCAAUUGCCUGAUGUUGUAAUUCUUUACCAUGUUGGUUUUUAAUACAUGAUGAUGUGGUUGUCCUUUUAAAAGUCGCUUGUUUUACCCUCCUUGACGUGUGUAUGAUAUGAGACGUCAAUUGUUUUAGACUAGCUGACGUGCAGAAAAUCUGUCACGACAAUUAAUGCAACUGAAUUGCCUCUAUUUCCCCCAGACGACGGUAGGUUUUAAGUGUGGAAGUAGUGUUUUACAAAAUCGUAAGUUGGAGUAAUCUACCAUCGUGUUAUUCGAGAAUAUACCACGAUCUUUGUUUUGUACUCGGUCGCUGAUGUUUAUACUACUUAAUAAACUGACAUGUUUUCAGUUUCAGACGGCGGCUUUUGUUUCUUUAUGGUCUUUUGCAUUUUUUUUCCAUGACAUUUUUGAAAGCCUAAUGUUGGUUUUAUUUUAGAAAUCGAUUUUUCCCCUUUUUUUACUGGACCGUCGUACUUUACACAUUUAAUCAAUUUUUUUCAAUUUUUGAUUCAUCGUGCCCAAAGCCUACAUAACGAAAAUGUGAUCAGAAUUAAAAUGAUGUACAAAGGUAUUAAUUAAUGUCAUACAAUUAACUGAAUAACUAAUGUCAUACACUACAACAAUCAAUCAAUCCAUAUAUCUUCACACCCAUCUUUAAUAUUUUCACUCCCAAACUCACCCACUAGGUCAUCAUAUGUGUCAACAUUUGGUAUCCCUCUAGUAAAUGUCUCACACUCAAUUCUAAUAUCACCUAGCACAUCAUCACCAAUAACAUUAUUAUAUUCUCUAUUAUGCAUUGAUAACACUACCGACCAACCACGAUGCAUUGGGUCGUCAGCAUAAAAUACUUGUUUUGGUCAUUCCUAUGUCCAAUUUUACUCAAAUCUACAAAGGUGAAUCCAAGUUCAUCGACAACAAGGCCCAAAGUGUUAUCUAUCCAAUCACACCUCAAGACAAGGAUUCUAAACUUUUGGUAGUCAAGGUCCCAAAUUUCUUGAAUAACACCAUAAAAACCCAUAUUGGAGACAAUAGAGUUUUUAUCCUUAGCACUAGCAACUUGCAUAGUAUGUGCAAGUAAAUAAACUCCACUAUUUUGGACAGUUCGCAUAUCAUCUUGUGCCUUGGUGUUAAAUUUAACACCAUUAAUAAGAUAGCUCCUAUAUGAUGGCAUUGCCAUGCUUGGACUAGCUGCUAGCCACCUCAAAUUUUAUGAUACGCCAUUAUGCUCUUCCCCAUUAAGUUCACUUUGAACUUGCAAAUUAAUCGUAUAUAUCCUAAUUCGAUCUAACAUAUAAAAAGGAAGAAAAUUAAAAGUUGAAUAUGUCAUUCAAUAACAUAUAUACUUGAAAGUGUAGCCAUUGAAUGAAAGUGCUAUUGUGCUUAUCUUGCAGCCACUUUGUUCUCUUUCUAAAUAUUGGAUAAGUGGUCUUGAUGUGGAUCAUAUGUUCCAUACAUUGACACGAAAAAAUCAAGCAUUACGGUCCCUUGUAUAUAAGAUAACAUAAGGAAUAAUAAUAUUUAAAAUGGCUCUAUAUGAAAAAUGGAACUCAUGCGUACUCGAUAUAAGGUAGGACUUCCUCAGUAUUCUCCAAGACAUAUAGAUGUGUCUGGUUCAAAAAACCCGAUCACCUAAGCUUACUGUGCAACCAGAUAAUGGCUUUGAAACUCCCAUCUUCUAGCUUGAAGGCACUCCAACUGUACUAACAUCAGAUAAAUGCUCGGUGCAAAACUCUACAACUUCUUCAGCUAUAUACCGCUCAAUAAUGCAACAUCCGGGACGAGUACGGUUCUGAACAAACCUAUUUAGCACUUUCAUAUGUCUUUCAAAUGGAUACAUCCAUCUAAAAUAUACUGGCCCAUGUAGACGAACUUCUCUGACAAGAUGUACUACUAGAUGAACCAUGAUAUCAAAGAAUGAAGGGGGAAAGUACUUCUCAAGCAAACGCAACGUAACUACUACAUCUUCUUCCAAAUUAUCUAGCUUGGAAACAUCUACUGUCUUUGCACAUAUAGCAUUGAAGAAGAAGCACAAUCGAGUUAUUGCAUACCUUGCAGGCUUCUCCAAACAGAACGAAUUGCCACAGGGAGCAAUUGUUGCAUCAAGGCAUGAAAAUUAUGAGAUUUAAGGCCAAGAAGUCUUGAAUAUUUUUAAGAUACAAGAUUUUUUUAUAUUUGAACAAUAACCUUCAGGGACUUUCAUACCAUAGAAAGAAUUGCAAACCGCUCUCUUAUCUGCUCUUGACAAAUUCUAGGGCCUUGGAGGCAAGCGAGUACGUCUUUCUCAAUACUCGGGUUGCAAAUCAUUUUUGACCCCCAUGUUCAAUAAAUCUAACCGAACAGCAAUCUCAUCUUUAUUUUUUCUAGGGAUCUCCAGCAAUGUACCAAUGAUACUAUCGCAAACAUUCUUCUCAAUAUGCAUAACAUCUUGGACAUGCCUCAUAGGAAGGUAUUUCAAAUACUCGAGAUCAAAGAAUUUUGAUUUCUUAUUCCAACAAACUCUGUCACCAUCAUUCUCAAAAACACUUCCCCCAUUUUUCGAGCCCCAUAUGUAAUUAAUAUCUUCAACCAUGUCCUAUUCAAGUUAAUGGUUCGGGAGGCGUGCCAUAUUCAAGUUUUCCAUUGAAAGCUGCACGCUACCUCCGACAUGGAUGAUUGAUUGGUAACCAUUUUUUAUGACCAAUGUAACAAAUUUUGGGGCCAUUUUCAACCUGUGACUAGGUGUAUCAUCGCCGCAUAUUGGACAAGCUUUAUAUCCUUUAACGACACUGUAACACCCCGACUCUAAAUUAAUCCCUUAUUUAAUUAUUUAAAGAAAAUUACAAAUUUACCCUUAAGAUAGGGGUAUUUUGGUCAUUUUCUUACCCGAAGAGAGUUUGGGGCAGUGACUAGUAUUUUUGGAUAGGUCGUACUGAGACGAGUUCAUAGACACGUAGUGGGCUCGAAUCGAAGUUGUAACGAGAGAGAUAUGGUCAAAAGAAACCCAAUUGCACAAUCAUAAUUAUUUCGAAAUGAGAUUUUUAUAAAAAUCAGAUUUUUUUUUCUCUCUCUCUCUCUCUCCUCGUCGGUCUCUCUCCCUCUCCUCGAAACUCCGGCCAUCGGCCACGGCUGUGGACGGGGCCGGUACCAAAAUGACCGAGGCGUUGUCCUCCUCUAAUCCCAGCUAGGUCCCGCCGUCAGCCGCCAUGGUUUCGCCGGAAAAUGGAGAAGAAGCGGCCGGCGUCGUCCGAAGUUCUCCGCCGUUGAUCUCCCUCUUCCGGUCACCGAUUCCGACGAGUGAGGUAUGGUUUCUCACCUACUUUUCAUGCUCUAGCUGCCUGCUGGGUAUGAUUGGAUUGAUUUUUAGCGUAGGCAAUUCGAUUUUCGCAUUGAAAUUCGGCUAAUUUUGGAAUCACGAUUCCGGCUAGUUCUGGUCAGUUUUUGGGGUAGAUCCAAGAACAAAAGUGGCUCCAAAUAGGGUGUUAUACCUAGGGUAGGAGUUUGGAGCCAUGGUUUUGAGAUUUUCCGGCGAUACGUAAUCGCUUUAGACACCCAACGCUGCCCGCACGUGUGGCAGUGCGUGGGCGAGGGUAGUGAAAUAGCACUAUGUCUCGAUGAGAUCCUUAGGUUGUCACGAGUGCGUAGGAUUUCGCGGAUCUCAAUUCGGACGUCGUUUGACUAUCGAACGGAUUUUCGUAUAUUGCGCGUCAUCCGGGUUCGAUAGGUUGGGACCGUUGGAUGGUCUCGAAUAAAAUAUAUGUUAAUCUAGGUAUUUCUAGGAUCAUGUAGGAAUUCACGGAUUAUAAAUCGGAGCCCCGGAUAUUCCGAAUAAAUAAUUUAAAGUUUAUGUUUUAUAAUAACCGUCACAUCGUGCGAUCGUGAGCGAUCCGACCGGCCGAUCUGGACCAAACUUACAGAACGAGUGUCCUAUACCUUGAAGAACCCAUAGGAAUUUUCAGAUCGAAAUUUGGAGGUCGUGGGCCCCGUGGGCCCAUUUGACUAGGGGUAGGGUAGUUUGACCCUUAGUUGACCGUGAGUCUCCCGGAGUAAUCUCACCUUUCCAGGGGGAUUAUCGGGUGCUAGACUGUUGUUGAGGUUUACACGAUAUUAGUAGUAAAUUAUAUAUUUAUAUACAUUUGUAAAGGUAAAAAAUAAGUCCAGAAUGUCAGUUUGAAGUGCUUUACGCACUACCUUAGGUACCUCCCCGGAUUUUAGUUACACUACAAGUACCACCCUAUGAAAGUUAGGUCCCACGUGGCGUAGGUUAUCCGGCGUGCGGACAGGCCCUAUACGUGGCAUUGGUAGUAUCGGUGUAUGGGGAGAUUACGUGAUAAUAUGUUGAGGUCACACGUGGCGUAGGUUAUCCGGCGUGUUGACAGACCCCAUACGUGGCGUUGGUUGUACCGGCGUAUGAGGAGAUAUUGUGAUAUGAUAUUCAGGUCUCGCGUGGCGUAGGUUAUCCAGCGUUGAGACAGACCCCAUACGUGGCGUUGGUUCUACCGGCGUAUAAGGAGUUUAUGUGAUAUUAUGUUGAAGUCGCGCGUGGCGUAGGUUAUCCGGUGUGUCGACAGACCCCAUACGUGGUGUUGGUUGUACCGGCGUAUGGGGAGAUAUGUGAUAUGAUGUGCAGGUCUCGCGUGGCGUAGGUUAUCCGGCGUUGAGACAGACCCCAUAUGUGGCGUUAGUUGUACCGGCGUAUGGGAAGAUAUUGUGAUAUGAUAUUCAGGUCUCGGGUGGCGUAGGUUAUCCGGCGUGUUGACAGGCCCCAUACGUGGCGUUGGUAGUACCGGUAUAUGGGGAGAUUAUGUGAAAUACAGAGAAAUGAAAUAAGGUAUUGCCUAUGUGUGGAAUUGGGUUUUAAGGAAGAACUACGUGUGGCUUGAUCCCUCAGGGAGGGUACGUAGGCAGCCUAAGGUUAUUAGGUGUAGCCGCGGACAUAGACGUGAUUGUGUUAGGAGGUUAAAACCUCGUAUGUUGAAAUUGAGAAAAUUAGAUGAUGUAUGUUGAAAUUUAGUAGUCGUAAUUUAUAUUUAAAUUUAUCGUUUGCCUUGUUUAAGGCAUGAAUUGAUUUGCUAGCAUGCUUGGUAGUUGAGAAUUAUAGAAAGGCCGAAGGCCGUUUAUGUGAAUUGCAUGGAAUUAUAUUGUGCAUGCUGCCAGUUGUAGUUAUUAAAUGUGUUUUUAUGCAGGUUGAAAUUUUGGGAAAUGUCCAAUUUACAGGGGAGACUCUGCCGAAAUUUCGGCAGAAAGUCUCGGUCUUUAGUAAGUGGGCCUGACAUCGAGGUGAUGUCGGGGAAUCCACAGGAUCCGCCUCGAUUUUUGGAAAAAUCGGGGCGGUUCCUUUCAGACACAACCAGAUAAGUUCUCAUAGGCAGAAAAAUCAUUAAUUGUUCACAGUAAUACACCUAUGAGUGUAAAGUAAUCUCCUAUGUGUGCAUCAUACACUCCUUUAAUCCCAUCCCACAAAGAUUUUAAAUCAUCAAUCAGAGGCUCUAAGUAGACAUCUAUAUCAUUUCCAUUCUAUUUAGGACCAGAAAUCAAUAAGGUCAAUAUCAUGAACUUCCAUUUCAUGCAUAGCCAUGGUGGGAGAUUAUAUGUAACUAAGAUAACCAACAAUUGUAUCUGCUACUUAAAGAACUGUGGGGAUUGAAUCCAUCAGAUGAGAGAGCCAAUCUCAAGUUUCUUGGCUCUUUACUGAACUCGGGCCAUUUAUCAUCAACAAGUUUUUAAGACGGGAAAUUCGCUGGAUGAGACAUAUGACCGUCAAUUGCUUUUCUAGCAACAUGCCAAGUCAAACUCUUAGCUGUCAUAUGUGAUUGAAACAUCCUUUUAAACCUUGGAAUUGGAGGAAAAUACCACACCACCUUCGCUGGCACACUCUUUUUCAAGAUUGAAUCUUUGCAUUCCUUCCACCUUGAGAUACCACAAGUAGGACAAUUAGUUGAAUCUUCAUAAUCAUUCCUAUACAAGAUGCAGUCAUUGGGACAUGCAUGGAUAUUCUCAUAACUCAUCCCUAAAGGAGAUAAUGUCUUUUUUGCCUCGUACAUAGAGGAAUAUAGUGUCUUUCCUUCUGGAAGCAAAUCUCCUUGAAGUAUCAAUAAUUCUAUAAAACAAACAUCACUCAUCCCAUGUUUUGCUUUCAAAUUAUAUAACUUCACCAAAGCCGACAACAUCGUGUACUUACUGCAACCAGGGUACAAGGAUUGAUCUCAAUCCCCAAUCACAUUGGCAAACUCAUAAGGAUCAAAUCCAAUAUCGCCUAAAUCAUUAUCAUCCAUCCCUACUUCUUUAGAAACAAAACUGAACCUACUUUGCUCAUCUUCUUCCACAUUUCUACUAGCAUUAGUAGUCAAUUCCCAAGGUUCUCCGUGCCAUGUGCAAAUCUGAUAGCUUUAGUCAAUUCCAUUAAAGUAUAAGUGGUCCCUCAUAAUUCCAACCCCAAACAAUCGAAUAUUCCCACAUUUAACACAUGGACAACGAAUAUGAGUUGUAUUUCCAAGAUUUUCUACAGCAAAAUUCAAAAAUCCUUCCACCCCUAACUCAUAUGCCUUCGGUCUUCUAUCCGCAUGCAUCCAUGACUUAUCCAUCUCACACACUAUAAAAUCAUAUAUAUAAUAAAGUGAAAAGACCAGCAAUGAAACACUACUUUAUUCACAUAGCAAAGAAUGAAUUGAAAAAAAAAAUUAACCAAGAAUCAGACGACGGUUUUUACAAAAAAAAUCGUCCUGUAACAGAGGGUCAGACGACGGCAUAUCUAGUUAUCGACGUCUUUAAGCUACCCAAACCCAGAUAUUUGUAUUGCUUUUUGAAGAACCGGGUUCUGGGUUCUGGUAAACAAAAGAUGACGGUAAAUGGAGAAACACCGACGUAUCCUAAAACUUGAGACGACGGUUUAUUUCACCAACCGUCGUCGUAGUUUACGAAAAACAGAAGUCUAAAUCUCCCAUCCUCAUUCCUUUUCUAAGAACCCUUAACAAAAUGCAAACAUCAAAAUAUAAAAGAGCCAUAUAUAGCUCCCAAUUAAGAAACCAAAGCUACCAAAACAUAUAUUAAUAAACCAAAGCUACCAAAAUGAACGAAAACAUUUAUGGGUUUUACAAACUAAGAGAAUAUUGAGAGAGAGCUGAGAGAAUAUACUUACAUGGAUAUUGAGAGAGAGCUGAGAGAAUAUAACAAAUGCUUGAGAGAGAGCUUAGAGAAUAUACACAAUGCUUUGAGAGAGAGCGAAAAAUUUAAGACAAAUUUAUGUUGAAGAGAGAGAAGGAAAUAUUUUAGGGUUAAAGGGAAAUUCUGAAAAUUUUAGAUCACCGUCAAAAUUUUCAAAGGACCGCGUUUUUCAAAGACGGCUAAGGAAAACUACCGCCAUUGUAAAUCAUUUUACUACGACGGUUGAGGAAAACUACCGCCAUUGUAAAUCAUUUUUAUGUCGCCUCUAUAAAAACCGACGUCUAAAAUAUUAAAUAAUUAGAUUUGGUUUGCAUUUCGUGGGAUUCUAACGUGCGUAAUUGACCAAAAAGAGCGAGAGAAAACCAGCGUCGUUUCUAUAAAACCUAAACCCUAAACCCUAAACCCUAAACUCUAAAACCUAAACACUGAAAAAAUUAACCAAAAAUUGCUAUGGACUCCUUACAACAAUGCCUUCUAUAUUAGUAGGCUAAAAUCGGGAUUAAAUAAUUUUGAAUUUUAUGACCACCAAUGGAUCACAUAAACCUUAGGGUUAUGUUUAUGGAAAGUAUAAGGAUUAUUGUGUUUUGUCUCUAAAUCUUUUUUACUUUUGUUAUCACUUGUAACUUUGAAAUCUAAAAUUAAAAUUUUCAGGCCUUUAGGGGGGAGAUAUUGUCUCAAUGUGUUUAUAGAAUUUGAGACUGCGAAGGUUCUAGCUGAUUGACUAAGGAUGAGGCAGGAUGGAUGGAAGGUUUGCUUGGAGAUUCUACCUUUGUCAGCUCUUCUGGUUGACAUGUUGUUUAUUCUGCCUGAGGAACUACUUCUAGAUUUUUCCCUUUUCUAGCAGAACUAGUCUCUGGAAGUACUUGUGUGUCAUCCUUAUUCUUGAGGAAGACGCAGUAUUGCCUUUGAACUCUCCUCUUUUGCAUUCUGGUUAGCUUCAGAGUUGGUCUUCGGCUUUUUCCAAUAGAAUAUCAUCUACCUUCUAUGAUAGUUGCAAAGGGCUUGUCAUUUCCAGGCAUCUUAACUGGUAUUUCCUUCUUUGGCUGCUCUAUUAUUCUCUUGUUGCGUUGGGCAGGCCUUAAAUAGUCCUUCUGUCUGGCUCUAUCUCUAGGUGGAGCCGGAACUAGGCCUUGUUGGUAUGAUGUUCCAAUCCUGUCAAAAACACAAGGUGUGGGCUGACUUUGCCUAACCAGAGUUACCUCUAACUCACUUUCACAUUUGCACCUGUUGCACAAAACUACCCCAGCCGAAAUGGUUGCUUUUGGUCUUCAAUUAGCCUAUCUUUGGACUCUUCUGCCUAUGCUGGGGCUAACUUUUGCUGUUAGUUUGCCUUUCUUUUGUUUUGGCCAAUUUAAGUUGACCAUGUUGACUUGAGGUUGGGGAAAAGGGUCUGUUGUUAUCGAAUGAGGUUUCUCAGCCAGUUUUAGCCUCCAUGCUGUUAUUCCUUCCUGUAUGACGUCCCUGAAAACAACACAACUAUUGGUGGAAUGGUCCCAGGAGUUAUGCCAUCUGCAAUACUGUCUGCCCUUGAGUUCCUCUAGCUUGGGCAACUUGUAGGGUGUUUCUAUUGCCUUCUGUCGCAGCAUGUCAUCAAACAGGGCAUCAACCUUGGUUAAAUCGAGGGAAUAGACUUUGUUAUGAGCUGGUUUGUUUGGAACAAACCCUCUUGUGAAUGGUGGUGGCUUUUGGUCCUUUGGUGGCUUUGUUAAAGCCUUGCAACUGAUGAGAUGUUUUAAUUUCCCCAUUUCUGCCACUGCAACUUCUCUCUCCUCCGAGCUUUCUAUGCCUUCUUCUGAUUCUACCUCAACAAGAUUUACUGAAGAGGAUGGGGUUUUGUAAUAUGUGCCUUUGAAAGAGUUCCUCUUCUAUUGUUCUUCCCUGAGCAGCUCCUUGUAUUUAGAUGCUUUGUCUGCUAGUUCUGCCAGAUCUCCAAACAGCAUCCCAUCAAAUUUUUUUCUCAGAGAGAUUUUAAGGGAGAUUUGAGCCAUUUGGAUGAAGUGCCCUUCCUCCAUAGGGAUUCAAAAUUUCAUUUUGAGCUUUUUGAACCUGGUUAUGAAGUCUUGGGCAGGCUCAUCUUCCCUCUAUUUCCAGGUUUGAGGGCAGCAAGAUCACUGAUGGUGACUUCUGGCUGAAUCCUAAAAUAGUAGUCAUGGAAGACAUUUUCCAUCUAUUUCCAGGUUUGAACAGAAUUGGCUGGUAAGCUAGUAUAUUAGAUGAAGGCUUGUCCAGAGAGAGAAUUUCGAAAAAGCCUUAGUUUUAACAGAAGGUUAUUUUCUAUGGCUAUGCACUGGAAAGAGAAUCUGCCUAUAUGCUUAACUGAUGAAGCAUGGGUGUCUUCUCCGUUGAACAAGGUGAAGUGUGGUACCUUAAAGCCCAGGGAUAGAGGUAUUUGAUCGAUAUAAGCUGGAUAAGGCUUUCUGUAGGUGGGCCUUUCUCCUCUUCUGGCCUCAGGUUCCAUCAUCUCUCUGAUCAUUCUAUAAAGUGCCCCCAUGUCAUUCAAAGCAUUGACAUGAUGCGGGGUUCGCCCCUGUUCUGGCUAGUUGUGUUCAAUCCUUUGUUCUACUUUAUAUGGCCUGGGCAGAACUUCCUCCCUAUGCUCUUCCUCUUUUUCGAAAUCUGGAUGAUUCCUUUAGUUUGCCCCCGGUCUGUUUUUGUCAUUGUUGGCAAAGGGUUUAACUCCUACUCUACCUCUCAUGCCACUUGCUAGUGGAGGGAAUGGAUUGGGGUCCAUCCUUCUAGGUCUGUAGGGCAACACAACUGGUUGCUCAGGCAGAAGUGCCAAGGCCUGAUCACGUGGGGCCACUAGUUGUGGAAUAGGUGGAGGUUCUGGCUAGUUCUGAGGGGGUCUGAACUGGUGCAGAGCCUUCUGGAUGAACUGAAUCCUCAUGUUCUUGGAUGGGAAGGGCUCCUCCCCUCUGUCCAGCUUGGAUUUCUCCAUGUCCUGGUAUUCCAGCUAUCUGUGUGAUGAGAGGCUUCUCUUCAUAUGGCCAUGCCAGUCCUGGUAGAGGUCCAAAAGGGAGAUCUAGCUGCUGGACCACCAUGUCUAGGUUUGGAAUUUUGGCAAUAGUAGCCUCACGGUCCUUCCUGAACUGCCUGUUGACUUGCCAUUACAUCAUGGUUGUCAUGUUGUUUAGAGUAUCUUGGCUCAUUUGUGCUGUGGCUUCUUGCCGAAACACAGCCUCCUGUAUCUAGUUUAACCUUCUGGAACCAGACAUGGAACGUCUACUCGUGGUACUGCCAUGGGCUGAUUACCUAGCAUCACUUUCUUUUGACUCAAGUCCUUUUCGGAGAGCUGCUUGAUCUCUUUUCAUGGCAUAGCGUGGAUUCUGGCUAGAACUUCCAAUAUUCAUAUACUAGAGGAUUUUUCUAGAAAUAUAUGUAUUGAGAAGUCCCACUGGGCGUGCCAAAUUGUUCAUCCGUUUUAGAUUUGUUCCUGUGAUGGUAGGGUAAAGUUCCUCAUUGACUUGAAAACCAUUGGUGGUCAAUAAGUCAACUUUCUUUUGUGUACAAAUGUGCCACUGCUAGCAAUAAAAACCCUAGCAGACUUCUUAAAAAUAGAAAACUUGUGCCCAAGUUAUUAACUUCUAAAUAAGCGAUUGUGAAUUUGGGCGAGGAAUAUCUCCCAAGUAAGUUCUUUUCUUUGCCUCAGAUUGGUGAGGACUUCACAAUUUUUCACAGUACAAAACUGGUAGUUCUAGCUAGAAUAAAUGAUAAGAAAGUGAACUGUUUUCAGGCAGAACUACCUUUUACAAAGCUUAAAAAGGAAGACCAACUCUAAAAAGACAAAAAGAGCUUUUGGACUUCAAUUUCUGCUUGGAUAAAUGCUUCUGAUCCGGGCUGGACUGGGUAUGUUUGUGCUGGACUGGACUAUCAACACCUUCAACUGUCAAGUUUUAGCUGUCAAUGAAUACCAAUGUUCGAGUGUGGCAAAGCUUCAAUCUAUUUCAAGCCGUGCAAGGCUUUUUGAACGGACAGAAUUGGAACCUCUUCAGUCUGGAAGGGGUAGAAGUGGCUGAAUUUGGUGAUUACUGAGCUGGAACUGCACUGUAGUACCUGUUCUGCUUGAUCAGGGCUCUCCAUAAAUUUGUUGAGGUUUUAAUAUUGGUAAAACCCGAAGCUUAUGUUGAACCAACUUUGUAACGAGAGAAAUCUUGCUUUGAAUGACUAUUUCUCUGAAACUAAACAGAAGUUAGAGAUUCUGGAAUAUAGCUGACUUGUUUCUUAUGGCUCAAUGAGCUUUUGGUUGCUUCAGUGUUUUGAAGGCUUUUGAGAUCAAGUGAUCAUUUUGAGUUUUUAUUUUUGAUUGAUUUUUUGGCUGUCCUUUUAUCUGUUCACCUCAUCUCAUAUUUAUAGAAUAUACUGGAGUGUGAUUUCUAAUCUUUUAAUAAUGGGCGGCAAAUCUUUUAAAAGAUCUUUUUUUCUUUUUUCAAUGUCAUAAGAGAAGGAAGCUACUAUUCUGACAGAGAAAGGUUGUCAACAAUCAUCUUUCAAUUUUUCUAUGUUCACUUUUUGUUCUUUGUAAAGAGAAAGAACACAAUCUACCAUGAUGGUCAGUGUGCUUUUCCUGUUGAACAACUCCCUCGUUCUCUACUUAUCUCUUGAAAACGUAGUCUGCUUAUCUCUUGGAAAGACCACCUGAUUUGGUGCAGAGCUUCUCUAUAUAUAUAUAUAUAUAAAGGGAUUUUGAUCUUCUUCUUUUGGCUGAAAAAAUAGAGAAGUCUUUCUGUAAGACCUGCCUUCAUUAAUUUUCUAUCAACUUCUCUGUAAUAGUUGAAAAUUUUGACUUUUCAAAGCCAGGUAUUCACGUGGGGUUGUUUAGAAAAGAUCUGUUGAUUUUGUCAAUCUUUUAGGGUAGAGAUUAAAUAGCGUAAAAAGGCUGGGCUAGUCUCUUUUUCUUAGUAGAUAAAAAGCCCAAAUAUUUUGUCUCACUGCCCUUUUCUGGAAAAUAAAUGGGCUGGGUGUGUUGGAAAUUGGCCCAAUCUUAAGAAAGACUCUGGUGGCUGCCCAAAAUUGACAUAGGCUUUUCUUGAUUUUGGGCUGGGCAUGCCAAAUUAGGCCCAAACAAUGCCCCUUAAGUCUGAAUUGUUUUUGGAAUAGUUUCAGACUUAAUGAUUUGGCCAUUAAUUUGUGCGCGCCAUUUCCUUCUGUUAGCCCACAUCUGCCACGUCUGCCUAUUAUGAUCAAGACUUCGUGGGAAAGUGGGCAGUUACUAGCUAGUUAUUAUCAGGUGGCGUCUUGUCUUCUUCUUCCCACGAUUUCGAGUCUUUCUAAGAAAUUUAAAAAGACCUCAGCUCCUGUUUACUCAAAACCUAACUUCUUCAGACCUUGAUUUUCCUCAGUUUUCUCAGAAUUUUUACCCUUUUCUGCGAUCAAACCCUGCUUCCUUUCAGUUUGAUUCCCCUAUCCUAGCUCAAAACCCGAAAAUGUCUUCUCCAAAAAAUCGUGCCCAGACUUCUUCUUAUUCUGUUCCUCCUACCUACAUUACUGGGGCCGGUGUUGAUAAGCAUGUGAUUGAAGUCCGGAGCAAGCUUCAUCCUUUUGCCCAGAACGUUCUGGACAAGAACGUGUUACAUUUGUUCGAGAACACUCUUGUUUUGGAGCCUCAUCGGUUUGGUUCUGUCCCGACUGAAAUGGCAGAAUUGUUUAAAGAAUAUACUGAAGCUCCUCUAUGCUUUCAGAGCUCUUUCGUAGAUUUCAGUUUUAUAUAUAAACUAUCGUGUUUCUCCCUAUAACAUGUCGUUUUUAAGAAUUGUUGUCAAUGUUUUAUUUCCUGCUACUAUAAGACGGCGAUUAUUUAUACAUAUGAGACGUGUAAAUUAGAAUGAGACGUCAGUCUUUGGGAUUUAAAUUAAGUUUUUACGAUUUAAUGUCAUUUUAGUUCAUAUAAGGACAUAAAUGUCCUAACCAAAAAUAUAUUUAUGUACAUUGUCAAUAAAUUAAAAUAAACCUAAACAUUGUUAAAAUAAAUUAGAUCACUUAUUAUUCUGUAAUUACUUGUUAACGAAUUCAGCCCAUUCCAACCUGACUUCGUCAAUAUGUUCUUAUACAUACUGAACUGGUUCCUUUUUCUUAUCAAACUGCAAAUAAAUAACAAAAACCAACGUGUUAUAAAGAUUACAACGACUGCUUUUAAAGAAAAAGUUGUGGUACUAAAAUAAAGAAUUUAUAUCUUAAGUUUUGCCUUUUACCUUCUUCUCAAAUGCUAGGCCUGGAUCAUGAAUUAUAUCUCUCAUGAAAUGCAUCACGUAAUAGCCACACUCUACAUUUGUUGGUUGUCGAGGAGUGCCAUGUAGAUUUUUCCAUAUGACUGAUUUACAUGAUGAUUAAUUGCCUGUGUGAGAGUUAUACAUUUUGAUUGAACUGUUUCAAGAAAAUGAAAAGUGUUAAUGAUAAAAAUAAAAAUCUAAAGCAAAAAUAUUAAACGUCGUGGUAAAUAAGUGAAGACGAUGGUUUUGUUAAAAAAGUGAUGUUGUAUUUCAUUUCAAACGUUGGUAAAUAAAAACCGUCGUUGUGUAGAAUUCUAACGUCGGUGACGAUGAAAAAUGACGUAUAACCAAAAAUUGUUUGUAAAUGAAAGUUGAACAGAAAAAAAUAAAACUUCCUUAAAUGAAAAACACAAACGACGUGGUAUUUCAAUUAAAAUGACGGUUUACAGAAAAUACUGACGUUGUAAAUGAUUUCAAACAUCGGUUUGAAGUUACCAUCGUGUUUUCAUUGUAACGUCGGUAUUAGAAAAAGCCGUAUAUCAUUCAAAUGCAAAUAAAAAAAUGUUAGAUUUUCAUAGAUAAACUUACAUAUUCACUAUAUUUCUCAUGUCCUCGUCAACAACGCGGUUUGGCAAUGAAUCCAUGUAAUAGAUAGUCUCCUUCGCUGGUCUCACAAUUAUUAACACCCAAUGACCCCUACACAUAAUGAUCCAUAUAGGUUAAAUAUACUAGAAAGAAAAAUAGGCAUCAAGUAUAGUUAAGGGGACUAACCUUGGAUUACAAGGCACCAUGUAAAAUUGAUCCCCAUUUGCGUUUUUCAGGCGGUCUGAGAGAUGUUUCAAACGGUAAGAUAACGUUCCAGAUUGAGAGCUGACUUGUCCAAGGUCCACGAAGCCAAUAAGGUUUACCAUAUUUUCUAUUUUUAAAUAGUCAAAUAGGCACCUAAAUAUAUGAAAUUCAAUUAAAUGAGAUUUUAACUUUAAAGAAAGGAAAUGUAUAAUGCAAUCACUGUGGAUCCAAUCUCAACCAUGGAAGGAAAUUGUAAAAUAUCUUCACACAAGAGGAAGGUAUCAUGGUUAAUGCCAAAGGCUUCCUCUGGAAUGUGAAUUCUAAUGGUCUCGUUAAUGGGCUUCAACUUGGUCUCGACAAAUUGAAAUAAGGCUAACAGAGGAGGUGGCAUGUCUAGCUUUGAGAGAUCCUGUUACAACAAAUAAAUAAAGAAAUAUAAGUUAGUUUGUACACUAAGUAAAAUAAACGACUCUAACUAAACCAAUCAAACCGACGUGGUAUAUAAUAUAAUCGACAGUUUCUAGAACAUACUGAAGGAGUAAAGGUUAUAGACGACGGUAAAGACAUAACCAUCGUUAUGUAAAUGUUCUAACGUCGCUGCAUUAUGGAAAGGUCGUCUAAUUAAAAUGCAGUGAAGCCUUUAUUGAAAUACACGACAGUUUAUAAAAUAAACACCGACGUAGUAAAAUACUGAGACGACGGUUAUCAGCAACGUCUAUUUGAAAUUAUAAAUCAGAAAAAAUCAAAUAUCAAAGAUUUUACCGUUUCAUCUUGCCAUUGUUUAGCAACAUCAGCAUCAUUCGUGGGAUUUUCUUCCUCCAAAACAAGGGGUCUCACAUUAGAGCAGCUUGCUUUGUCAGACAUUAGAUUUUUUGGAGUAAUUGGAGUUUUAUUGAGCAAGUUGGGAUCACAGUUGGGAAUUAGUUGACUGAAUUGUUUCAAUAAAAUUUCCCUCUCUGCUCUGACUGCCUCCAAAACAGUUUCUUUUGCCUUAGCUUUAAUCUUUUUGGUUUCUUCUCUCACUGCCUCCAUAACACUUUCCUUCAAUUUGUUAGCAAAUUUUACUCUCUGCUGUCUCGACAAAUUGAAGAAUUGAGUUGGGGAAACCCCAGCUCCAACACCUCUAACUCUCCCACCAUGCUCAGGGGUUCCCAAAGCCAAGGUCAAAAUAUCGUUGCUCUCAGAGACAGCAGAGUGCCCUCGGAAACUUGUUUUUUCAAAUCAUCCUAAAAGUGAGAGAGAGAGAGAGAGAAUGUUAGUGAGUGAACAGAUAGUAAAACAGAUUAAAUAAACAACUAUACAAAAAUAUUAACCGACGUGGUAAAGACUUUAAAAAACUGAAAUCAAUCCCCAAUAGUAACAGGGACCAUGCAGCAACGAUUUGGUUGACAGUAGUAUAGGUUGGAGAUGCUGUUGAUCAUUAGAUACUAUUUUUUUAAAUAUCAAUUCUGUAACAUCCAGACCUAAAAAAUUAAUGAUUUUGAUUUAAAAUUAAAUUUAAAUAAGCAAUUACGAAUUUACCCUUGGGGAAGGGGUAUUUUGGUAUUUUUUUUUUAUUCAGAAAGAGUUUGGGGCAGUGACUAGUAUUUUUGGGUAGAUCGUACUGAGACGAAUCCGUAGACACGCGGUAGGCCUGAAUCGGAGUUGUAACGAAGAAACGGUGACCAAAAUUAGUCCAGUGGCAAACUUGUAAAUAUUUUGAACUUGGGUGUAGAAAAAUCUGAAACUGGCUUCCUCUCUCCUGCGUGCACACGUCCUUCUCUCUCUCUCCUCUCUCUCUCCUCGAUACCAUCACUCUCUGUCUCUCUCUUCGAUUCUCUCAAUUCUGGCCACGGCAAGGGCCGGGACUGGUUCCGAUCAACUCCUCACAAAGCCCCGAACCAGAACCACCACUUUUCUUGGCCGGAAAGCUCGAGUUUCGCGUGGUAAUCUCGACUGGUUUGAACCAGUUUUCCUCCGUCAUUGUGCCGCCGCCAUCGCAGCCCAAUCUCGGUUAAACAAGUGAGGUUUCUUACUCUUUUUCCGAGCUCUAGCUGCCUGUUGGGUAGGAUUGGAUUGAUUUUUUGUCUAGGAUCCCGAUUUUGAAACCUAAGUUUUGACGAAUUUCAAAGUGAAAUUCCGGCCGGUUGCCGUCCUAAUUAGACCUCCCCGUAGUUGAAUAAAGUGAUCCUCGCUUCGAGUAGUAGCUAAGGUAGGAAUGGUGAAUUGCGGUGUGGAGUUUUUCCAUCACUGAAAAUUACUCUACACAUCCACGCGUUGCCAGGGCAUGUGGAGGCGCAUGGGCAAUGUGGUGAGACCACAUUUUAUCCUGAUGUAGUCUCCUAGUCCUCACGUGCGCGUAAGUGUGCUCGAAUUUCAAUUCGAAUGUUGUUUGACUAUCGAACGGAUUUAUGCAUAUUGUUUCUUAUCCGGGUUCAAUAUGUUCGGACCAUUGGAUCGAGUCCAAAUUUACGUAUGUUAAUCUAGGCACCCCUAGGAUCAUGUGCGAAUUCGCGGAUCGUGAAUCGGAGCCCCGAAUGUUCCGAUUCAAUAAUUUGAAGUUUAUGGUUUGCGAUAACCGUCAAUUUCUGACCAAACCUACAGGACGUGUUUCCUAAACCCGUAGUCGGACCUUAGAAUACUCGUUAUGCGUGCACGCACCGGGAACUUGAGAAAAUUAGUAUUUAAUUUGUAAAUUCCGUUUUGAAGUGAUUUUUUAUUAAUUAAGGGUGCGUAUCUCGAAAUAGGUGCUCCAUCACUAGCACGCAGCAGGUAGGACCCUCUUGAGGUCAGGCAGUGUGGGACUACUUGUGAGUGGACAUUUAUUUUAUAUAUGCAUUAUUUUCAAUGAUUGAAAGAAUAUGCAUGAAAUAUAUAUAUUUUUUGGAAUAAAGAUUGAGAAAUUCAUAUGUUGUUAUAUCAGUAUUAUUUAAUUUAGAAUUUGGUUUGAUUUGAUGAUGAGUUAUAUAAAGGUCAAGUUAUUCGUGAUUAAGUCUUGGAUGAAUUUUGGGGGAAUCGGGAAUUGAAUAUUAUGGUUUAUGGUGGGAACUUAUAUGAUUACACUGUGUGGAGUACCAUCCCCUAGUUACUAGGCUUCCCACAUGUGGCGUUGGAAAUUUUCCAGCGUGUGAUGAUGUAGUCUGCACGCAUAGGACUUAGUAUUGGAGCUACACGUGGCGUUGGAAUUUCCGGCAUGUAAGCUAUGGAGUUUCGUCCCCCGGUUGGACCGCUCAUCCCUAGACGCAGGAUAGCAACUGAAAAUCUUGCGGGUUAGCCAAACAAUCCCCCGGUUGGAUUGUUUCCCCGGUACCUAAGUAGUGUGAUAAAUAUUAUGUAUAUUUAUAGAUAUAUAUAUUUCUAUGUGUGUGUGUGUGUGUGUGUGUGUGUGUGUGUGAGUAUAAAUCAGUUAAAGUAUAUGUAGUGGUUGGGUAAGAGCAGUAUAAAUUUUGGGGAUAAAGUUUAUGGAUAGAGUGAUUGAUCUCAAAGGGUUUCGGAGAAUGAUGUUUUUGAUCAUUAAAUAAAAGUUAUGAAUCUGCAUGUCUUGAGCAUUAUUUUUAGACGGUGGGGUUAUUAUGUUGUUUUGAAUGCAAAUUUUGUUUUUCCACUCACAUGUUUUCUGUUUUGCGCCCCCCAAACAGUAGUCGCUCAAGGGAGAGUUGCAAGCCAUGUUCGAGGCCCCGAACUGUGAACAUCAGUAGAUUAGGUUUCGAGUAAUUUCUUUCUACUCAACUGGAUGUUCUUGUAAACUAAAUUCGUUAGAUGCUCUAUUAUUGCCCCUGUUAGGUUUUACUUGUGAGGCCAGAGGCCAUUUAGUUUAUACUGUUGAAUAAUAAAUGCAUGCUGCUGGUUGGGAUUAUAUUGUGCUUAUGCAGGUUGAAAUUUUUGGGAUUGUUCAAUUUACAUGGGAGACUCUAGCAAAAUUUUAGUAGAGAGUCUCGGUUUUUAAUAAGUGGGCCAGGCAUCGGGGUAAUGUCGGAAAUAAGACUGGAUUCGUCCCGGUUUCCGAAGAAUUCGAGGCGGGUCCUGUCAAGUUCCUCCUAUUAACAAUAAUAAAUUAAAUAUUUAUAUAACUGAUAACAGUUCCUCAUAUUAACAAUAAUAAAUUAGUAUUUUGUAUAAUAAACAUGUUUAAUGAAAUUCAUCUUCUUCUAGCAUGUUUAUUUAAAUUCUAAGUUUUCUGAAGAAAAAAAAAAAAAAAAAGGAGAAGGAAAUGUCCUAAAUUAAAUCUUAAAAGUUCAUUUUUUUCUGUCCCUAUAUAUUUUUUACCCAAUUAUAAUUUGAGAAAAAAAGGUGAAUUAACUGUCAUUUCACCUUCAUCAUUUUCAUGAUUUAUAUAAGAUUCUUCAAAGAUCAUUUCCACAAAAAAUUACUUAAAUUCGAAUCCAUUUAACCGUCUAAUUAAAUCGUUAGGACCGUUGAAAUAAAAUUUAAAGUGAGUUUAAAGUGAGUCCUACUAUGUCUCCCUCAAAUAAGAUCAUUUACAGGAUCUGUCGAGUCAUAUGAGAAUGUUUAGCUUUUCGAUCCCAAGAGUUUGGUUCGAUUUUCAUAUAUAUAUAUAUAUAUAUAUAUAUAUAUACAAGUCAAUUUACUUUAAAAAGUUCACCAAAUUUUAUUUUUGGUCUCGGUAGUUUGCUUGAGGGCCUUUUUCUGUCAAUCUAUUUGUUGUGAUUGAAAGAUUUUAUAUAAAACAAAAGAUAUGUUUUUAUCUUAAAAAAUGCUUAUUUUCAGAUCUUUACAUAUAGACAUACAUAUGGCCUGAGAAUUCAAGCAAUAAAGACAUAAGCUGAUGAGCAUUCAUAAUCAUUAGAAUGAGUACUGAAUGGUCAACUCUUUCAAAAUACUUCGGAAAAAAACAAAGGACAAUACUUCCUUCCUUACUCAUAAGAAGGAACUCCUUCUCACCUUCUAUUGUCCCUCAACCACAAAGUAACAAGUGUUCUCUUUUUUUAAUUGUCAAUUUUUUUUUUUUCACUUUUACUGAACCCCUAGCUUUUUACCAAAGCAAAAAACACAAAACAAUAUUCCCAUUGUUUUUUUUUUUCAUUUUGAUUUUUUUCUCAACUUUUUGAAAAAUAACAUUUUUCCUUCUUCAGUAAAAAAUUGAAGUCUUUGUGGUUAAAAGCUAAGGUUUCAGUAAAGGUUUAAAAUAAAUAAAAAGUUUUGACAAUUCAAAAAACAGAACACAUAUCACUUUGUGGUUGAGCCGCAAUAGAAAGUAAGAAAGAAUUCCACCUUACCCAUAAGGAGGGAAGUAUUGUCAAAAAGAAAACAUCUUAAAAAACACACAGAAAACCCACCAUCACUACUUAAAAGAAGUAGAGAAGUCCAACAUUCUGAUUUUUAUACACCUACGUGACGUGAGCAUUCAAUAAUCAUCCUACACAUAUGUUGAUGUGAGCAUUCAAAAUCAUUAGAAUGAUUUAAUUGAAGACUCAACGUACGGACGUCUUUUUCACUUAGAUUCCCUUCCUGUACAAACUUGAAUCAGUUCCUCCACGACCCCAUCAAUCUCUUCAUCCUCUUUCUUGUUCACGUUGUCGCUUAUUUUCAAUGCCUUUUUUCUCACUCCCUCUCCAAAUUUCUCCACAACCACAUCUCUAAUCACCUUUGCGACCUCUUCUCUUUGCAAACUUCCUUCACCUGUUCUCUUAACCUCCACACCAACACCCACCUCCUCCACUAGUCUAGCGUUGAUCGGCUGGUCAAGAUGCAUAGGCAUGGCUAUAAUUGGAACACCAAACUUGAUGCUCUCCAACACUGAGUUCCAUCCGCAGUGACUCACAAACCCCCCAACACUAGAAUGCUGCAGUAUCUUUGCCUGUGGGGCCCAACCCUCCAUUAUCACUCCCUUCUCUCCCACCCUCUGUAAAAACCCUUCUGGUAACACCUCUUCAACCCUAGUACUUCUCUCCUCCUUAGAAAAUCUUAUAACCCAAAUGAAGCUCACUUUGCUAAGCUCUAAUCCGUGAGCUAUCUCUUCUAUUUGCUCCUUGGACAGAAAGUACUCACUGCCAAAGCAAACAUACACAACAGAAGACCUUUCCAUUUUGUUCAGCCAUUUCAUGAUCCAUGUUUCCUCAUCAACUUUUUGAUCCAUUGGCUCUUGAACAAGCGUGCCAACAGGCACGAUCUUCUUCCCCGUUAAAUCAGAGAGAUAAUCAAUAUAUUUUUCUUCAAUCUCGCUGGAUGUCUUGACCAAAAUGAUGUUACAAGAUCGAGCACUGCAUUGCUGAACACGGUCUCCGUCUUUGAUGCCAUUUGCUGAAGAUUCCAACAAAUUGUUGAACUUUUCAGCUUCGUAAUGUUGAAGAUAAAUCGAAGGAAAAGGAAACUUGACACUAGGGUUCUUGAGAUGUUGAAUACUAAAUGAAGUAAAGGCAGCACCCAUGGUGGUGAAUUCAAUGGAUGGAAAAUUUUGCAAUGAAGCUAGAGAGGGCGCCCAUGGUUGAAGAACAUCAUAUAUGAGCAAAUCUGGACUUAGGGUUUUGAGGAUGUUGGAGAAGUUGUUGCUGGACAUGCUGAAAGCCGUUUUGAGAGUGGACAUGAGAUGGGGAGGGAGGCCAUUGGUGGUGUGGUAGUGCGGUGGGAGUUCAGGCAAGUCAUCAUGUGGAAGAUGGAGUUCCACAAAUUCAAUGCAAUGAGAAUAUUUUUGGGAGAGUUUAGGCUUGAUGGAGCUGAGAUUUACAGGCGUGGAACAAAUAAAGAUGUGAAAAUUUCUCUUGGUGGUCAGCUUCUUGGCUAGCUCUAGGUAGGGAGAUAUAUGGCCGUGAGCUAGCCAUGGAAGCAAAAGAAUAGUAAGGCUUCUUUGGUCAGAGAAAACCAUAUUUUGUUUUCCUUUGACUUGUUUUCCUUUGACUCUUUUGCUUGAGGUUGCUCGAUUAUAGGCUUAUUGGUAGUUUGUUUGUGGCUAGCUCUAUGCAUAUAUAUAUAUAUAUAUAUAUAUAUAUAUAUAUAUAUAUACACACACAAAAACGCGUGAUGAUUGGAACAUGCACACGUAAGUUCCAGAGAGUGAUGAUUGGCCUAUGAUAAAGACUCGAAACAAGAAUAGUUUAAAUUUUCUUCUUUGUUUGGCUUGAUAUAAGACGAAUGCACCAAACAAACCGACUAAAUGCCGACACAAUAAUUAGGUACGUAAUAAUAUCAACUUUCAUUAUAUAGAUCUGAGAAACAAAAAGUUGAACUUUGAUGACAAGCGAUAUUAAGGAAGGGCACAAUCGAACUUAGGAUCUCGAAUGUUGAAGUACAUGCUCUUAACAACUUGAGCUAUAAGGUAUUUGUAAUGACAAUUUAUGGUUUUAAUUAUACUUUUGAAUAGUUGCUUCCUUCUCUUUCAUUUUUAUUUUUAUUUGUUUAUAUUUAACUCUAAUUUUAUUUAUAUUUCUGGUCAAGGUAUAAAGACUUUGAAUCUCUCUCCAAUUAUUUUUCACAGCCGAAACUCCUUUAGUUUCCACAAAUCUUUUUAAACAUUUCAGGCAUAUGUAUGUUUCCGAGUCGGAUGGUUCACGUAACCAAGAAAUUUAAACUUGUUUUUGUUUGUUCCUCCGAAGAAAGCACAACAAAAGGACAACCUACAACCAAUACUUCUCAUUGAAUUUGUUGCCGUGAAUGAUUAGGACUCUGCCCAAACUAGUAGUUGCGUUUCUGAAUUGUUUGAAAACACAUAUCAAAUUAUGAUUUCUCCUCCCCGAAAGAAAAAUUGACGUAGAAGUAUCAUGAUCUUGAUGACACAAAUUAGAAUCUAGGGUUUUCGAAGUGCCUAAUGGACAACUACUUAUUUAGAAAUAUAUAUAUUUUUGUGGCUAAAAUUUAAAUUUAUUAUAUAUAUUCUCAAUGCAGAAACACAUAAAUCUAAGUUCGAAUUCAUCCUUUUUUUGUUUUUUUUUUUUUGUUUUUUUAACCCAGAAGAAAAAUUGAGUCCCACUCUGCUGUGUAGAAUGCGCGUUUAGUAUAGAUUUUUUUAUUUUUGAGUCUCUUAUCUGGUUCCCGAGCUUCUACAUUUAGGUCUCGUGUAUUUAUCUGCAUUUUCUUAAAUCUAAAUCACUCAAACAAUCUAACCACUUAACAAAUGACACGUACUCAAACUUAAAAUCAGAAUGGAUGGAGUAGAGGCUUACACCGAUGAUUCUUGGUCAAGACUUGAGAGACAGAUGGAGACGAGGCAUGACAUAAAGUCUGAAGAAGAGAAACGAGGAAGCUUCAUUUAGAUGGUGGUGUAAGUGCAUACGUAAAGUCCAGAUUCAACAGGAAAGCAUCUUAAACGUAAAGAAAAUAAGUUUACCAGAAGCAAAAGAGAUACUGAAGUAAUUGUUUAUCAACUGAACUUAAACGAAAUAUUAACUCUUUGUUGUGCCAUAAGCACAAGAUCUUAUGAAAAAAAAUUCAAGAUAAACCAUAUAAUAUUGGGAGAUUCACGUUUAUACCGAAUAUAGGAAUUCAAAUUAUAAAAUAAAUAAAUAAAUAAAAUAAUCGAUAUGAAAUGGACUUUAGAAACACACACAAAGCCUAUUUACAACAUAACAAAAAGGUUUUUCCCUUCUUUUAAAUUACAAAACUGCCAUUGAUUUCUUAAAACAAACCCAACUCCAAAACCUCAUUAAAAAAGCACAAAACACUCAAUAGGGUGUCAAAGUAAUUUAAUAAUAAAAAAUAAAUUCAAUAAGGCCAAUUGAAUUUUUUGGAUUUUUUUUUGGGUUUGUUUAUAGAAAUUAAUGGUGUAGGGUUUAUCUAUAUUAUUGGUGUUAAGAAUGAAUAAUGACUAAAUAUCUCUAUAAUAUUUUCUAACUCACAAAAUAAUAUAGAAAAUAAAUGCAAGAACAAGAAAAUAGCAAUAUGCAAUUUAACGAAGCUGCUUACAAUCAGUGCAAAUGAGCAAACAAAUUCGCUAUUAAUUUAUGAAGUGUUUUUGUAUUUACAAUACCGCCUCUUGAAUGUCCACCAUACAAUAAUAUAGUUGCAUCAUUAAAAACUUUACUUGAAAAAUCGUUUGGGACAAAACUUAAGCUAAGAGAAAAAGAGUGCAACACAAAUGAUAUUGACAUCACAUAUGUCUCUCCUACAGAGUGAGCUUUGGUGAUGCUUGUAUAAAAAUUGCUUUCACAUCAUUAUUGGGAGAUGUAUGUAUGUCAUCAAUCAUUUGAAUCUUGUUGAGGUUAAAGUAAAACCAAAAAAAUAUCAAGGGCCAUUUUCAUAUAGUUUUUCACAAUAAAAAUUAACAAAAUAACUUCAUGUUCUUUAAUAUCAUCAAAAAAAUAAUAUAAACAAACUCAUAGUUUACCUUUUCAAUGAUAAGUGUUUGGAAAAUUUACAUGGAAUAAUAUUUGGUAUGCUAUGCUAGCAUCUCAUAAGCUCUUCAAGAGACCUAAAUUUUAUGAUAACUUCUUAAAAAAAUUUGAAUACUUUUCAACAAUAUUAAACUUGAAUUCAAACUCAUAAUUCAAUCAAAGUACUCAUUGAGGCAAUUUAGAUCAUUUUCAUUUUAAGAAAAUUGGGUGCAUACAUUGAGCUUCAUGCCCUUUACCUUCUUAGAGAUUUUCUUCGAGCAAUUUAUAUUGCAUGACAGAUUAUAUCUCUUAGAAUUUGUUCUUAUGUAUUCUUCAAGAGAUCUCUUCUUGCAAUAUGCUUCAAACACUUCAUAAUCUUUAUAGAUUUUUCAUGUAGAUUUAAGGUCUCCAUGAAUAUUGAGAUUGAAACAAGGAGUAAAAUAAAAGUUUAAGAAAAAUUUUCCCUGAUUAUUUUGUAAUUAUAAUGUUGGUGAAAACCUAAUUUCCUUUCUGAAAUUUGUGAAAUUUGUUAUUUGGCUAAGCUAAAAGUAUAAUAUUGACAAUAAAACGUAUACGAAAGUUUCUCUUUGGCUGGCUUCUUGGCUGGCUCUAGGAAGGGACAUUGCGGCCAUGAGAUAACCAUAGGAAGCAUAAUAAGAAUGCUUGGAUGCUCUGAACAAUCCAUUUUCUGACUCUUUUUCUUGAGGCGGUUGUUUUCUUAGGCCCAUCAGAGUUUAUGGUCGACAGAUAAGCUUCAAACACAUGCAUUGGUCGUGUCAGUUGCGAUAAACUCUUCCCAACAAUCUGAGACUCACAUCACUCCAAACACAUAAAAAGAAGUGGAAAUUUGCUAUUCUUUGUCUUUGUUUGGACAGCUAAUAGCAAAGCAUUGGAAACAUCGAAAAAAGAAAGUUAAUUAAUUUAAGAAAAACAAAGAAAUCCUUCUUUUUUUUUCUUUUUUUUUUCAGCAAACCGAAACAUAAAAUCCGAAAAAGAAGAAGGCAUGUCCAAAAUUACAUCUUGAAUUUAUUUUGGAGAUUCACUAUUAUACUCAAAUUAUAUAUGAAAUAAAUUUUAGAAACACACAUGACGCCAAUUUACAAUAUAACAAAAAAACUUUUAACUUCUUGUAAAUUACAAAAUUGUUAUCGAUUUCUUAAAACAAGCCUAAUCCUAAAACCUCAUAAAAAAAAAAUCAAAACACUCAAUAAGGCAUCAAAGUAAUUUAAUAAUUAAAAUUAAAUUUAAUAGGGUCAUCUGUCAUUUUUUGGAUUUUUUUCGAAGUUGUUUAUAAAAAUUAAAAUAAUGUAUAGUUUGUUUAUAAAAAUUAAAUGAUGUAGAGUUUCUUUAUAUAAUUAAUGUUAAUAAUGAGUAUAUGAAUAAAUGUCACUUUUCUUUAUUAACCAUUUAUAAUAUAUGAACUCAAGACUUCCUAUCGAACACCGAAUGGUCUUUCCAUUCCUUGUUAAUUCAAAGUCUGAAAAUGUUCGGUGUCAGCUCAUGAAUUUAAAGGCUUAAAGGCUCAAAACUUGAACGAAUAUGAAAGAAAAAAGUCGUUCACCGUUCAUCCUCUUCCUGCAGCUGUGCAUGCUAAUCACCCACUGAAUUAAACAUACAAAUACGCUUUAUGUUUUCUCAAAUUGUUCUUUGAACUAAGUAGAGGUUGGAAUACACUCGGGGUCAACAUUGUUCAAAUACAAAACACUUCUUAAUUUUAUAUUUUAUCAAAACAGAUCGAAACUUCAUUCAAACUGAGAACCUAGAUUACAAAACUACCAGAAAAACUGGAAUCUGCACUGUGGCCUCAUUAAAACCUUGCUUUAAAAAACUCCUAAAAGAGGAGAAUUCAGUCAAGAAAAAAGAGUACCACAGCAAGUGAAAUCCGAUAUCAUACUUCAUUCCUUUCUCAUACAAAGUUGAAUCAACUGCUCUACCACCCCAUCUAUCUCUUCAUCCUCUCUCUUUUUCAUGUUGUCUCUCAAUUCCAUUGCCUUUCUUUUCAAACCCUGUCCAUUUUCUUCCACCACCACAUCUCUGAUUACUUUUGCUAUCUCGUCCCUUUUCAGCCUCCCGUUCUCGUUGCCGCCUCCUCCCAUUCUCUUAACCUCCACACCAACUCCAACGUCCUCUACUAUUCUAGCGUUAAUAGGCUGGUCAAGAUGCAUAGGCAUGGCUACAAUUGGAACGCCAAACUUGAUGCUCUCCAACACUGAGCUCCAUCCACAGUGGCUCACAAACCCACCAGCACUAGAAUGCUUCAAUACUUUUGCCUGUGGAGCCCAACCAUCCACUAUUAUUCCCUUCUCCCCCACCCUCUCAAAAAACCCUUCUGGUAAUACCUCUUCAACCCUAGUACCUUUCUCUUCCUUAGGAAAUCUUAUAACCCAAAUAAAACUCACUUUGCUAAUCUCUAGCCCAUGAGCUAUCUCUUCUAUUUCCUCCUUGGAUAAAAAGUACUCACUGCCGAAGGAAACAUACACCACCGAAGAUCUUUCUCUAGUGUUUAGCCACUUCAUGAUUUUUGUUUCCUCCGAAUCCACUUCUUGCUCUAUAAGGUCUUGAACAAGUGAACCAACAGGCACAAUCUUCUUCCCAAUUAGAUCAGAGAGAUAAUCAAUAUAUUUUGCUUCAAUCUCUCUAGAACUCUUAACUAAUACGAUCUUACAAGAACGAUCGCUGCACUGCUUAGCACGGUCUCCAUCACUGAUGCCAUUUGAUGAAGAUUCUAACAACAUCUUGAUCUUACUAGUCUCGUAAUAGAUUGAAGGAAACGGAAAUUUGACACCAGGUUUCUCGCCAUGGUGGGUACAAACUGACAUCAUGGCAGCACUGGUUGUGAAGAACUCGAUGGCUGGAAUGUUUUGUAACAAAGCUAGAGAGGGUGCCCAUGGUUGAAGAAAAUCAUAAAUUAGCAAAUCCGGGUGUAGGGUUUUGAGGAUGUUGGAGAAGUUAGGGCUUGCCCUGUCGAAGGCGGUUUUGAGAGUGGACAUGAGGUGGGGUGGGAGGCCAUUGGUAGUGUGGUAAUGAGGUGGGAGUUCAGGCAAGUCGUCAUAUGGAAGAUGUAGUUGCACGAGUUCAAUGCAACGAGAGUAUUUUUCAGAGAGUUGUGGCUUGAUGGAUCUGAGAUUUACAGGUGUGGAACAAAAAUAGAUGUGAAAAUUUCUGUUGGUCAGCUUCUUUGCUAGCUCUAGGUAGGGAGAUAUGU
rnacentral:lncRNA from 1 species